GGUGGAGGAGGUGAAGGGGGAGGAGGUGGCGAAUGUGGAGGUGGUGGUGAAUGGGGAGGAGGCGGUGAAGGCGGCGGAGGCGGUGGUGAAUGGGGAGGAGGCGGAGGCGGUGACGGUAGAGGUGGUGGAGGCCGAACACAAGGCGGCGGUGGAGAUCGAACGCAGUAAACUGGAGGUGGAGGUGAUGAUCGAACACAGUAUGGUGGAGACGGAGGAGGUGGUGAAGGGGAUGG